AAUUAGGAGUUUUGGAUUAGCAUAUACACAUGACUAUAAUUUAAAUAGAUAAUCAAUGAGGACCUACUUAUAGCACAAGGAACUAUACUCAGUAUCUUGUAAUAACCUAUAAUGGAAAAGAAUCU